UACGUAGGGUGCAAGCGUUAAUCGGAAUUACUGGGCGUAAAGCGUGCGCAGGCGGCUUUGCAAGACAGAUGUGAAAGCCCCGGGCUUAACCUGGGAAUGGCAUUUGGGACUGCAAGGCUUGAGUGCGGCAGAGGAGACUGGAAUUCCUGGUGUAGCAGUGAAAUGCGUAGAUAUCAGGAGGAAUACCGAUGGCGAAGGCAGGUCUCUGGGCUGACACUGACGCUCAUGCACGAAAGCGUGGGGAGCGAACGGG
rnacentral:rRNA from 1 species